rnacentral:rRNA from 1 species
UACGAAGGGUGCAAGCGUUACUCGGAAUUACUGGGCGUAAAGCGUGCGUAGGUGGUUUGUUAAGUCUGUUGUGAAAGCCCCGGGCUCAACCUGGGAAUGGCAAUGGAUACUGGCAGGCUAGAGUGCGGUAGAGGGUAGUGGAAUUCCCGGUGUAGCGGUGAAAUGCGCAGAUAUCGGGAGGAACACCCGUAGCGAAGGCGGCACUCUGGGCCGGUACUGACGCUGAGGAGCGAAAGCGUGGGGAGCAAACAGG